UCGACUACCCGAGCUCUCCUCUUUCCCCGAUCUUUUCUUCUCCCCUUCCUCUGUUCUCUCUCGCGGACAGGCGACGGCGACGGGAGCAAGGCGACGGCGACGGGAGCAAGGCUCCAGCUCCGGCGAUCCUUCUCCGCCGGCAUCGAGGCCUAUUGAUCUCAGAUCCGGCCGACACCCUUCCUCUCUGGGUCGGAGACACGGCGUCGCGUCUCCUCUAGCCGAUAGCCGACGCCAUUAGAUCGAGCCAGAUCCACUCGAUCGCCGGCGUGGAGGAGGCAGUUAGGGCUCCGGUGGUCACCGACGCACCUUCUCUUCUUGGCGGCUGAAUUAGGUCACGGAUCGGAGGGGAUUAGUGAGUUGUGCUUGGGCUGUAGGGCAGAGAUUACAUGUGUUGAUGCUUGAUCAGUAGUCUUCCUGUUUGAUUUCAAUCUUGAUCCGAUCAAUUGAGAGUACUGGAAUUCAACAUGCUGCUGUUCUGUGGAGGUGUUCUUGAUUAAAGGAAGCAUCGGACUACUGUGGAUCAAUGGAUGAGGGUUGUGAGGUUCUGUGGAUCCGAAGUUCUAUUGCUGUGGGAUUGUUUUGGUUCCAGCAGCAUCUCUUUGGCUUCAGAUCAAGAGUAGAGCUUGGGAAUUAAGGACUUUGAUUCGAGACAGGCGUCUCGACGUUGACUUCGGAUUUGGGAUUGUACCUUCUAUU